rnacentral:rRNA from 1 species
GAUGAACGCUAGCGGGAGGCUUAACACAUGCAAGUCGUGGGGCAGCACGGGGUAGCAAUACUCUGGUGGCGACCGGCGCACGGGUGAGUAACGCGUAUGCAACCUACCCAGUACAGGGGGAUAGCCCGGAGAAAUUCGGAUUAAUACCCCAUAAUGAUAUUAAGAGGCAUCUUUUAAUAUUUAAAGCUUCGGCGGUACUGGAUGGGCAUGCGUAAGAUUAGCCAGUUGGUAGGGUAACGGCCUACCAAUGCUCCGAUCUUUAGGGGUCCUGGGAGGGUGCUCCCCCACACUGGUACUGAGACACGGACCAGACUCCUACGGGGGGCAGCAGUGAGGAAUAUUGGUCAAUGGGCGCAAGCCUGAACCAGCCAUCCCGCGUGAAGGAAGAAGGCGCUAUGCGUUGUAAACUUCUUUUCCGGAGGAAUAAAAUCUUGUACGCGUACAGGACUGAAGGUACUCCGGGAAUAAGCAUCGGCUAACUCCGUGCCAGCCGCCGCAGUAACAC